UUGGUUUAUCCCGUCUUUAUGAAUUUUGUAGUUUUUGUAGUCUUUGGCCCAAUUUCAAGGCCCAAUAAUACCAAACCCAUACCCCCUUAACCUAAAAAACUUUCUAUAUAACUUAAAACCAGUAUAAAAAUCCCUAGACCUACACAGACCUAGACCCUAAGAAUCAACGCCGUUCAACAUCAGAAACUGCCAUCCCCUCCCUGAACCUGAACAUCGAUUCUUCUUCAACAAAGAUCGAAAAAUGCCCAAGUAUGAGCAUCAGCUUCUUCAGCGUUUGAACACACGAGAAUACCCCCCCCCCCACCCCACCGUUCUGCUUCUUCCUUCAACCUUCCAAUGACCCCUCCUCUCCAAAAACACAGCAGCAACAACCACUAAGCCCGCCUGAAAUCCAUCUCCUCUCCAUCGUUACUGUCAUCGCCUCACAGCCGAAAUCCGGCGAAAAGACACUAGUAGCAAAAAGCUUAAAAUCAGCCGCAAAGAACAAGAACAGAACGCUCUCCUCCAUCUCCAAUAUCCAAUGACACCCAUCCUCUUCACCACCAAGCCAGCCGUCGACCACCUUGACCACCACUCCGAUGCCUCGCUCACGAACAGACCCUUCCCCCUAGUUUGCCUUUUCUUCUUUUCCUAUCCAUCAUCUCAAAACAAAUUCCUUCAAUCUCUCAUCCAUAAUACGCACGCAGAUACACAUAAAAACUGAUGAGGAAAAGUUGGAAAGAAAUUCCGAGAUCUAAGAAAACUGGAAAAAAGUCGCAAAUUGCUUCUGUCAUCUUCCUUGACUCUGAUUUUCAUUUCAUUGCUUGGUCUUGGGUUUGUUUGAAAGCAGAAGGGAGGACUAUUGUGUAGGGUUCUAUUUCAUCCGUGGCUAUUUUUUUUCAGAUCUAAGAUCUAUUUGCUGCUACUAGGUAUGUCAAAAUCCGCUUGGAGCUCCCUUUGAAUGUGCAAAUAAAGAUUUAAAGGAUUGUUUGAUUCCAUGGUUAUGUUUAAAUUAAUGAACUCUUUGGUUUUGUUUGUUUGGAUAUGUUUUUGUUUGGAAUCUUGUUUUAUUUUCUUAGUUCUUUAAUAAAUAUGUACUAUUGGUCUCUACUAUAUUAUGCUUUUGUAUUGUGAUAUUCCUUUUUGGUUUUGAUGAAGAUUCUAAAUUUGAUUAGUGAAUAAUUUGUAGAAAUUAAUCUUUUCGCUAGGAAAAUAUGUGGGCAAGUAAGAAAGUGUACUGUUUUUUGGCCUGUUUGGUUUGAAUUAUUUUGGAAAUUUAUUCUUAGAGAAAUGUUUAAAAUAUAAUCAAUUCAAUGAAGUAAUGAUUUUAUUUGCUCAAUAUCUUUUGGACAUUAACAAGACACUAAUUCUGAUUGUGAUAUGAGAUAUGUUUUGAAACAGGUAAAUUGAUCCAAACCAAAAAUACCCAUAUAGUAAACAAACAUUGUAGCUUGCUUUAGGCGUGCAUUAAAUCUAUCAUCCUGAUUGUGGACACGUUCGCGUGACAUAAUUACGAUUUUAAAAAACAAAAUCGGAGUAUGCGUUCGCGCAACUUCAACUAAAUUUUCUUAAUAAUAAUAAUAAAGCAUUAUUAAUUGUGGACACGUUUGUGUGACAUGAUUUUUGACGCGCCAAACAAAUGGGUGCACGUACGCGUGACCUGUUUCAAGAUAAUUUCCUAAUUAAAAGAGGCAAAUGCAUAUAUGUUCUAAAAUCAGUAAUCAAACAACUUAAAUUAGCCAAGUAUGAUCAAAGCGAUCGUGCUAGAACCACAGAACUCGGGAGUGCCUAACACCUUCUCUCGGGUUAACAGAAUUCCUUACCCGGAUUUCUGUGUUUCGCAGACAUUAAUACAGAGUCAAAUUUCCUCGAUUCGGGAUUCUAAACCGGUGACUUGGGACACCAUAAAUUAUCCCAAGUGGUGACUCUGAAUCUAAUAAAAAAUCCCGUUUUGAUUGUCACUUAAAUUGGAAAAAGCUCCUUUAUACCAUCCUGGGGGUAGUAAAAAGGAGGUGUGAUAGCCUUCUUUGUCUUGCUUCUUUUUCUUGUUGAAACUUGUAUUUAUCUUCUUAAUCUCUCAUUGUCUUUUACCAUAAAGAUGGAUAGACAUUCUUGCCUUAAGGCUUCUUAUCCAGAAGCUUGCAUAUUUUAGUACACCCAUGAUCUGCUAAGGAUCUUACAUUUACUUGUCGUAGGAAUCUUACAAAAAUCUAAUUUCUCUGACUCAGCUCUUCCACAACUAUCUCUCUUUCCAGUCCUUCUUUCCGGAUAUAGGUAUCGUCUUAUUAUGAAUAAAAAAAGAAUUUUGAAAUUUAAAUAAUUAUAAGUGAGGUCUACCACACUAUCUAGAGUAAGAAGAAAGACUGACAAUCCUAAAUGCCCUGAAGCCUCCUGCUAAUAAUGCGGUUCACAACACACCCAUAAACAAGACUCUACUAGACAUGGCUUGUAGACUCCCAAGGACAGAACUGCUCUGAUACCACUUUUGUCACGACCUAAACUGAUGGGUCGCGAUGGGCACCCGGUACCUUACUCAACUGAGUACCAAUGUGAUGUAUCUUUCUUAUUACAUCAUCAUAUACGCGUGACAUACGGGCCUAAUAAGCCAACAUGAUCAUUUAUAACUCAAAACAUAGGCCGAUAAGGCCGUAUAAUCUUUCACGUACACGACAUAUGUCUACAAGCCUCUAAGAGUACAUAAAUGUCAUAAAGUUCGGGACAGAGUCCCGCCAUACCAAACAAUGCAUGUCUAAAUCAUGCCAACCAAACAAGCAACUCCGAAGCAAAAUGGAGCUCACCAACAUCUUCCGCUGAGCUGAUAGCCUACUUGGAGGGCUCUCGACCUGUCUAUCGGGACCUGCCAACAUAUAACGCAGCAUCCCCAGGGAAAAGGGACGUCAGUAUGAAAAAUAUACCGAGUAUGUAAGGCAUAUAAAUAAGUACAUAACAGACAUGGAAGAAAUAUAGAGUAAUCGACUCAACCUGUAAAUCUGGAUAACUCUAUAAAUCAUGAAAUACUUUUAGCGUCAUGCAUAUGCGUAUGAAUGUCAUGUCAUGCAUAGGUACAUGUUUCAUAACAUCAUCAGCCUCUAAGGGCAUCCCAUCAUAUCAUAUCGGCCACUGUGGGCAAAAUCAUCAACGUAUANNNNNNNNNNNNNNNNNNNNNNNNNAAAGUACGUUAAUAAAAUCUUUUGGAAUGUCAUAAGAUCAUUUUGCCUUUGAGUAAUAUCAUAAAAUAAACUCUUUUCAACUUUCGUAUUUUUCUGAGACCCAUGAACAAACGAUAGAAUAAUAUGACACAUGAGGAAUCAAUAAUAUAAGCAUCUCCAAUAUUUUUAUGAAUAGUGUCAUGUAUGGAAAUUGUGCAUUUGCACGUUUUAUUUAUAUCGUAUGGAUCAUACCAAAAGAAAGAAGGGAUGACCUUAACAUACACGAACUAAUUCUCUUUUGCGAAAACACGUAACGGCGGAUCGAAGUAGAAAAAUAAAUCUGUAUGUUAUCCUUGAGAAAGUUUGUACUGGGCUUUCUUUGAAUUAGCAUUUCAUGUUGGACUUUGUAGCAUUUCAGAGAACUUCACGUUUGGAUAUUGCAAUAUUCCAGAGAGUCUCACGUUUUGGAUUUUCAAAGACUCUCACAUUUAG
rnacentral:lncRNA from 1 species